AGCAGUCGCCACGGUAAUACGUAGGGUGCGAGCGUUGUCCGGAUUUAUUGGGCGUAAAGGGCUCGUAGGUGGUUGAUCGCGUCGGAAGUGUAAUCUUGGGGCUUAACCCUGAGCGUGCUUUCGAUACGGGUUGACUUGAGGAAGGUAGGGGAGAAUGGAAUUCCUGGUGGAGCGGUGGAAUGCGCAGAUAUCAGGAGGAACACCAGUGGCGAAGGCGGUUCUCUGGGCCUUUCCUGACGCUGAGGAGCGAAAGCGUGGGGAGCGAACAGGCUUAGAUACCCCUGUGUCCCUGUCUCUUAUACA
rnacentral:rRNA from 1 species